CUCUCUUCUCUUGUCUGCCACCAUGUGAGAUAUGCCUUUCACUUUCUGCCACGAUUGUGAGGCCUCUCAAGCCACGUGGAACUCCAACCUUCCAGCCAGAGGAGGCCUCGUGACCCAGUUCUACCCAAACAGACCCAAACAGAAGCACCUGACAAGAAAGUGGUUAUGUUUCUAGAGCUGCAUCAGCUAUUUAUAACCAUGAUGGCAAGUCCCAGAGAACUGGUCUUGCCAUCACUGAGCAGUUGAACCAAUACCAGCAUCACCAACUUUCCUGUAUAUGAGAAAAAUAAACUCUAUUUCUUUUAGCCACU
rnacentral:lncRNA from 10 species